rnacentral:lncRNA from 1 species
AGGGGAUACAUACCUUUCUUGCGCUUUUGAAACUUUGAGGAAAAUGAGAUGCUCUAUAUUUUCUCUCUCUUUUUUUUCUUUUCUCUCAGGUGGGUAUCUUGUACCCCUAAUUCUACUGUCGGACACUUGUCCAUUUUUACCUCUCGUCUCACUUUUUCUUUUCUUUCAAGGUUCCGGGCACUUGCCCCUUUUUAUUUCCUCGUAUUCACUUUUUUUCAGAGCACUCAUCCUCCUAAAAUAAUGUAGCAAGUGGUAGUAACCAAGAUAACUUGAGCAUUUAUUUCACAGGGGAAAAUAGAAAUGUUUUUGGCAAUUCUCUCCCGGACUAGGAGUAGAAUAUUUUUUUGGUGAUUCUGGAGAUGGAAAUGGAUGGAUAUAUGUGGAUGCGUACUUCCAAAGUAGAAGCAACAUGUGUGAGUGAACGUGCAAGUGAAUCUCGAUUUAACCACAUGACAAGCUCCUAAGGGUCUACACAGCUUGGCCACACUCAAUGCUCAUAAGUAGUAAAGUAAAUGUGUGGCUCAAAGUUUAGCAAGCAUG